UCCCAUUCAAGAUGUAAGUCGGUAGAGUAUGGGACUCUCAAUCUCAGGGUUGUGGGUUCAAGCCCCACAUUGAGCAAAA